CCUACGGGCGGCAGCAGUGGGGAAUAUUGGACAAUGGGCGAAAGCCUGAUCCAGCCAUGCCGCGUGUGUGAAGAAGGCCUUCGGGUUGUAAAGCACUUUCAGUGGGGAAGAAAGCCUUGGGGCUAAUACCCUCGAGGAAGGACAUCACCCACAGAAGAAGCACCGGCUAACUCCGUGCCAGCAGCCGCGGUAAUACGGAGGGUGCGAGCGUUAAUCGGAAUUACUGGGCGUAAAGCGCGCGUAGGCGGUCUGAUAAGCCGGUUGUGAAAGCCCCGGGCUCAACCUGGGAACGGCAUCCGGAACUGGCAGGCUAGAGUGCAGGAGAGGAAGGUAGAAUUCCCGGUGUAGCGGUGAAAUGCGUAGAGAUCGGGAGGAAUACCAGUGGCGAAGGCGGCCUUCUGGACUGACACUGACGCUGAGGUGCGAAAGCGUGGGUAGCAAACAGGAUUAGAUACCCGAGUAGUC
rnacentral:rRNA from 1 species